UCCCACAAUCCCGCAGGAACUUCCUGCCAUUCCUCAAAGGUCUCGUCUCUGCUUGAUUUGAGCAAAUCCGUCAAGAAGCAGUUUGAGAGGGAAAAAUCAUUCACAUAUUUAUUUAAAUACGAAUCUAAAAAUGGAAUAUAUCAGUCUGGCAUUCACAGCAACAGAACUUAUCAAACCCAAAUGUUCACCGCGUGUUUAGAAUAGGAUUACGUAUACAGUUUAAUGUCUUACUUGACCUCCAAUUAAGGUUGUUAAUGGGCAAAUCUCCUUUACACAAAAAGAACUCAAACCAUAUUUAUUUUACAGAUGAUUUCACACCAGCAUCAAAUGAAGUUAAAAUAAUAAUUAUUUAUUUUUUUAUUUAAAGAGAAGAUUAAUUGAAAUCCGGGAUACACAGCAGGCCCUGGGAAACAGAAUCGGAAAUGGCGGAUAUACACGGGGAAAGCAGCGAGCGCAGGAAGUGGCAGGAAGAAGCAGAUGGCAGCUCUGCUCACUGCGGCGCAUUGCAGUCACCGGGUGCUUUGAUUUCGGACAGAUCCUGGGCGCGAUUCGGGGCGUAAUUACAGCGCGCUGCUCCUUCCAUCUGGCGUAAUUGACGAUGCUGAUUGUUAAUUAUAGCCCUGAAGUAAAUUUACACGGCGGGGGUGGAAAAGCACAGAGCCAGAGCAUCCCCACGAUCCCCACGCCAGCGAGAAAAACUCUGCGGUUCUGCGCGCCUGAAAAGAGGCCUCC